rnacentral:pre_miRNA from 1 species
UUGGAGAAUUUGAAGACUUCAACUUGCAAACUUGAAGAUUUUGAAGAAUUUAACUUGUAUACUUGAAGAAUUUGAAGACUUCAUCU